UGUAUCUGAAAGGGCCAUUCCAGUGAAGACGAGUAGGGCGGGGCACGUGAAACCCUGUCUGAACAUGGGGGGACCAUCCUCCAAGGCUAAAUACUACUGACCGACCGAUAGUGAACCAGUACCGUGAGGGAAAGGCGAAAAGAACCCCGGAGAGGGGAGUGAAAUAGAACCUGAAACCGUGUGCGUACAAGCAGUAGGAGCUCCGCAAGGAGUGACUGCGUACCUUUUGUAUAAUGGGUCAGCGACUUACUGUUCGUGGCAAGCUUAACCGUAUAGGGGAGGCGAAGGGAAACCGAGUCUGAUAAGGGCGCAUAGUCGCGGGCAGUAGACCCGAAACCGGGUGAUCUAGUCAUGCCCAGGGUGAAGGUGCGGUAACACGCACUGGAGGCCCGAACCCACUCCCGUUGCAAAGGUAGGGGAUGAGGUGUGAUUAGGAGUGAAAAGCUAAUCGAACCCGGAGAUAGCUGGUUCUCCUCGAAAGCUAUUUAGGUAGCGCCUCAUAUGUAUCCUCUCGGGGGUAGAGCACUGUUAUGGCUAGGGGGUCAUCGCGACUUACCAAACCAUUGCAAACUCCGAAUACCGAGACGGACUGUAUGGGAGACACACGGCGGGUGCUAACGUCCGUCGUGAAAAGGGAAACAACCCAGAC
rnacentral:rRNA from 1 species